UACGUAGGGUGCGAGCGUUAAUCGGAAUUACUGGGCGUAAAGUGUGCGCAGGCGGCCGAGCAAGUCGAGUGUGAAAGCCCCGAGCUUAACUUGGGAACUGCGCUCGAAACUACUUGGCUAGAGUGUGGCAGAGGGAGGUGGAAUUCCACGUGUAGCGGUGAAAUGCGUAGAUAUCUGGAGGAACACCGGUGGCGAAGGCGGCUCACUGGCCCGGUACUGACGCUGAGGUGCGAAAGCGUGGGGAGCAAACAGG
rnacentral:rRNA from 1 species